UGGGGAAUAUUGCACAAUGGGCGCAAGCCUGAUGCAGCCAUGCCGCGUGUAUGAAGAAGGCCUUCGGGCUGUAAAGUACUUUCAGCGGGGAGGAAGGGAGUAAAGUUAAUACCUUUGCUCAUUGACGUUACCCGCAGAAGAAGCACCGGCUAACUCCGUGCCAGCAGCCGCGGUAAUACGGAGGGUGCAAGCGUUAAUCGGAAUUACUGGGCGUAAAGCGCACGCAGGCGGUCUGUUAAGUCAGAUGUGAAAUCCCCGGGCUCAACCUGGGAACUGCAUCUGAUACUGGCAAGCUUGAGUCUCGUAGAGGGGGGUAGAAUUCCAGGUGUAGCGGUGAAAUGCGUAGAGAUCUGGAGGAAUACCGGUGGCGAAGGCGGCCCCCUGGACGAAGACUGACGCUCAGGUGCGAAAGCGUGGGGAGCAAACA
rnacentral:rRNA from 1 species